rnacentral:lncRNA from 1 species
UGCCUUGACGGGUUAGUAGGUUAUAAAAACAAAAUAUUAUGUAGGGAUUCUUAUUUAUGCUUUACACUAGUUUUCUUUCUUUUUCAGAUUGCGCAUCUCGUACAUAUGUUCUCUCUCAAACUCAACUUUCCUCCAUUUCCAACUCAGGGCUUCACCACCAGACUCGUUCACACUCUCAAGUAUGGUUUUUUCUCUUUUUACUUUUUGAAUCUUUCCAUCAUUUUCAUAUUUAUUUCUUGAAUAAGGGAUUGUUUGAUCAAUAUAAUAUUUUAUGUGCAAAUAUAUAUUUUGUCGAUAUUUUCUCCUCUUGCUCUCUAAUUAAUUUUAGAAUUUCAAGUCAUUUGCAUCUAAUUUUUGUAGUUUAAAUUUUGAUUUAACAUCCUCGAUUUCUAUACUGUUCAUGAGAUCUUGAAAAUUUAUUACACGGAUAAGUUUUAUAUUUGUAAUCUCUCCUGGUUUCUCAAUCUAAAAUUCAAAUUAAUACAACUAAGAAAGUUGUCUCGCUAAGCCUACCAAAACAAUAAAGUUAAUUAUGGUCAUUUCUCAUUAAUUAAAUUGAGAAUUGAUUACCUUUGUUUUGCGGGUUAAUUAAUUCCCAUUCAAUUGAUCCAAGUCAAUCUAAUAGACCAUUUGAUAGACUCCAUGACACGCUUGCGUGAGGUGAUCGUCGCCCCGAUCGUUUCUAGUAAAGUUGUAGGAUGGAUUGCUUGCAACACCUUAACCCCUCGUCUAUAUGUAGACGGUAAUCUUGGUACAAUUGUUCGCGUUCGGAAAUAUGCGUUGAAUGGACACCAACGACACCUUGACCACUCGCUUAUAUUGAAGCGAUAAUCUCGGUAUAAUCGACGAUUGAUGCGAUAGAAGACGCCACACACAACUAUGAAUUUUUGUAUGAUAAGUCAAAUUAAAUCUCAAAGAAAUAACUAAGAAUUACUUAGGAAUUCUUCAAAGAAUCAAAAAUAGAGAAUAACCUUACAAAUAUAUUGAAUAAUGAAUAAUGUGUUUUUGAUUACAUCAACUUGGACCUCUAUUUAUACUAUUCAAAAUAAUACAAAUCCUAAUAACAAUAGGAACAAAUUAUUCUAAUCCUAAUAGGAAUUACAAACCAUAACCCUAAUUUCUACAAGGAAGUAGAAAUCAAUUUGGAAAAGAAAUUCCUAUUUCUAUAAAACAAUAGAAACCUUAUUUAGAAAGUCAAUCUAAAUUGAAAAGAAAUCAUAAUUAUAAUAGAAUUUGAUAAGUAUCUGGAAAACAAAUCCCUAAUAGAAUCUGCCUAAUAUUUUAGGAAACAAAAAUCUUUUUCCUAAAAUCCCAAAAUAAAUCCUUGGCACGUUAGGAUCUUUUGUCGCGUGAAACUUGUUUCUUUCCUUUGCAUGUAAUCUGAUUAUGUAAAGUUGUAAGGACCCACAUAAUACUGGCUACAUAUGAAUAACUUGCUGAAAUUAAUAUGAUAGUUUCAUGUUGGCGUUGGUACUAACUCAUAUUUGUACUCUUUGAACUUGUUAAUCAUGUCAAUAUGUUUUGGAUACUUUAUUCGUUUGUAUCAUCCUUUGUAUAUUUUCGUUCACAUUCGAGAGUUGUUUUGAUCGUUGAUAUCUUGUGAUAAUUGGGUAUUUUGGUAUUUGAUAAUUCGAUGUCGUUUGGAGUAUGUUCAUGUAAGCGUUGUGAUUUGAACCCCUUUUGGCUUACAUUCUAUAGAUUGGUCUUUAGGGUAUACUUGAGCUAACCACAUGUGGGGGUACCACAGGCAUGUCGUCUUGGCACGAGAGGCAUGACACUUUCCGUGGUAGUGUGAUUAGUCAACGACGUCUCCAUUUGGGCUCCGGAGGAAGUGGGCCAUUUGAUGUUUAGUUGUGGGAGGCGUAUGGGUUGACCCUAGUUUUUUUGUUCUGCGGAUAAAUGACAUUCAUCUGCCAGAUUUCGUAAUCAUAAAAGGCUACAAUAGCAAGCAAGAUCCUGAUGGAUUUAACCAUUGCCACAGGAGAUAGGGUUUAUCAUAGUCAACACCUUGAACUUAUUUGAAACAUUUUGCUACCAGUCGGCCUUUAUAGGUUUGUACAUUACCAUCCAUGUCGGUUUUCUUCUUGAAAAUCCACUUGCACCCGAUUGGUUUUGCCCCUUCGGGUGGAUCAACCAAAGUCCAUACUUGGUUAGUAUACAUGGAGUCCAUCUCAGAUUUCAUGGCUUCAAGCCAUCUCUCAGAAUCUGGUUCAUUCAUAGCUUCUUGGUAUGAAGCAGGCUCAUCCUGAUCUAUGAGCAUCACAUCGCCGUUUUGAGUCACAAGAAAUCCAUAAUAUCUCUCAGGCUCUUGGCGUAUCCUACCAGAUCUACGAAUGCCUCAUGUAAUUUAAGCAGGUUCACUUUCCACAAUAUCUUGUGGUUCCUGCUCACGUUUUAACUUAGGUUCAAUGAUAUUUUGUGGUUCUCGAAUUUCUUCGAGUUCUACUUUCCUCCCACUAUUUCCUUUAGAGACAAAUUCUCUUUCUAGAAAAAUACCAGUUCGAGCAAUGAACACUUUGUUCUCAGAAGGUUUGUAGAAAUAAUACCCUUUUGUUUCCUUUGGGUAUCCCACAAAAUUACAUUUGUCAUAUUUUGGUCCGAGCUUGUCAGAAGCCAAACGCUUUACAAACGUAUCGCAACCCCAAAUCUUCAUGAACGACAUACUAGGAUGUUUCCCAGACCACAUCUCAUAUGGUGUCUUCUGAACCCUCUUUGUAGGAACACAGUUAAGUAUGAAUGCAGAUGUCUCUAGGACAUGACCCCAAAAGCUUAUUAGAAGAUUUGUAUGACUCAUCAUUGAUUGUACCAUGUCCAACAAGGUGCGAUUCCUCCUCUCAGACACACCAUUCCAUUGUGGUGUUCCAGGUGGAAUGAGUUGUGAUAUAAUACCACACUCCUUUAGAAGGUCAUCAAAGUCUUGGCUUAAGUAUUCACCUCCUCGAUCGAAUCGAAGGACUUUUAUGCUUUUGUCAAAUUGGUUUUGAACUUCAUUCUUGAAUUCCUUGAACUUUUCAAAGGAUUCAGAUUUGUGUCUCAUAAGAUACACAUAUCCAUAUCUACUGAAGUCCUCAGUAAAUGUAAUGAAGUAAUAAAGCCCACCUCUUACUAACGAACUCAUGGGUCCACAUACAUCACUAUGUAUAAGUCCCAAUACAUCGCUAGCCCGUUCAAUGUGUCCAGUGAAAGGGACUUUAGUUAUCUUGCCUAAUAAACAAGACUCGCAUUUCUCAUAUGAUUUAAAAUCAAAUGAAUCUAAAAACCCAUCUUUAUGGAGUUUGGAUAUGCGUUUCUCAUUUAUAUGGCCUAAACGACAGUGCCAAAGAUAUGUCGAAUUUGAAUCAUUUGAUUUAAAUCGUUUUGUAUUUAUGUUAUAGAUAGACAUUUCUAAAUCAAGAAUAUAAAGAUCAUUAAACAAUUGUGCAACACUAUAACAUAUUUCAUUUAAGUAAAACGAACAACUGUUGUUCUUUAUUAAAAAUAAAAAACCUUUCUUGUCCAAACAAGAAACAGAAAUAAUAUUUUUACUCAUAUCAGACACAUAAUAACAAUCCUCUAAUUUUAAUAUUAGCCCAGUGGGCAAAGAUAAAUGAUAAGUUCAUAUAGCUAGUACAACAACUUUUGCUCCAUUCCCAACUCGUAGGUCAACCUCUCCUUUCGCCAAAGUCCAACUCCUUCGAAGUUCCUGCAUAUUAACACAAAUAUGAGAACCACAUCCAAUAUCCAAUACUCAUGAUGUAGAAGUGGACAAAUUGACUUCUAUAACAUAUAAACCUGGAUCAGAAGUCACACUUCCUUUCUUUUUCUUCAGUUCUUCCAAAUAAGCAUGACAAUUCCUCUUCCAGUGUCCAGGUUUUCCACAAAAGUGACAAUAACCUUCUUUAGCCACCCUGCCUUUAGGUUUUAAAGCCUGUUUGAUUUUGGAAUUGGGUUUGGCACCAGAUUUAGAUCUUAUCUUCUUCUUUUCUUUCCCCUUUCCCUUAGCAUUCCCUUUUUGCACCAUCAUUAUUGGAGCGGGUCCUGCCUUUUUCAUGUUGUUCUCGGCAGUUCUCAACAUGCUCAACAACCCAGUAAGUGGUUUCUCAAUUUCAUUCAUGAGGUAAUUCAUAACAAAUUGAGAGUAGCUGAUGUUCAAAAAUUGCAAAACAAGAUCAGUUUGGGCUUUCGUAGUAAUCGGAAAACCCAACCUAUCAAGGUACUCAAUAUAUCCAAUCAUUUUUUGCACAUAUGGACCAACUGGAUCACGUUCACCCAUCUUGCAGUGAUACAACUAUUUGCUUGUAUCAUACCUCUCCUGUCGAGUAUGCCCUUCGAACAAUUUCUUGAGAUGCUCGAUCAUCUCAUAAGCAUCCAUUAACUCAUAUUACUUCUGAAGCUCUGAGUUCAUAGUUGCUAGCAUGAGACAACUCACGUCCAGAGCAUCAUCUUGAUGCUUCUUGUAAGCAUUAUGCUCUACAUGUGGUGCAGUGUUAGCUGGUGUUGCAGGAAUGGAGCCAUCAAGGACAUAUAGUUUGCGCUCUUGUUUGAGGACAAUCCUCAAGUUCCUAUGUCAGUCUAGGAAAUUAAUUCCACUCAGUUUUUCCUUCUCAAGGAUUGAUCGUAGUGAAAGACUAUUUGUGUUGUUAUUUACCACUGAUAUCUACAAUUUAUAAGUGCAAAAAUAAUAAGUCAAAUUGCAUAGUUUUUGAUAUUAUGUAAUUGAUAAUAGUACAUUCAAAAUAUACCUCCCACUAUUUUAUUCAAAUUAAUAGCCCUCACCAUUAAUUCAGAAAGUAUUUUCUAUUAAAUCUUUCUAGUAAGCCAAGAUCCAUAUUUCAUUAUGCCUUAAGUUAAAUUUGGCUAAUCUCUCAAAAUACAAUUAUUUAGGUAGACAACCCCUUGUCAAUUAUAUCAUAUAUAAUUUUUUAAAAUUCAUUGUUCUUUGUUGUGCUAUUAUAUAAUUUGAAAAUGAAAAACUUGCUUUAUCUCAAGUAUGAGCAGCCUCAAAUUUUUUGUUUUGCUCAAACUACGAAAUUAAAUAGGUUGAAUGACACUUAUGUCCCUCUAAGUUGUCAUUGAGUAUCAAAGUCGUCUUUAUAUCUCAUUUUUCGUCAGUUAAGUCUUUAAAAUGGUCAAUUGGUGUGAAUUUUGUUCAUUUUUUUCAAAUUUUACUUGAAUCUGCCCAAAGUUCGACCCGAACCAUUUUUGGGCUGAUUUAUGUGAAAUUUGGAAGGGAAAAAAAGGAAACUAAUUGACACCAAUUGACUACUUUAAGGUUCUAAUUGACAAAAAAACGAAUUUUAAAGAUGAUUUUGAUACUCGAUGGUAACAUGAAGGGAUAUAAGUGUCAUUCAACCAAUAAAAUUAUAAAUAAUGCAUGAAUUUAAGAAACAGCUUUCGAAGGAGGGUUAACAGUAUCAAAUGCAAUUAAUUAAAAUUAAAGAUGACCAUAUUUUUAUGUUAGGCCUCUUAAAUAUUGUUGGCUAUGCUAAGAUCAGAACUUGUGGUUAGUUUCUGAAUAUCUGAUUACAUUAACAUUUAGUUCAACGCACUUAAAAAGUCAAAACAAAUUUUGUAUUUUAAUUUCUCCUUUAUGAAACUUUACUGAUUUUUUUUAAAAUAAAGACAUUUUAAUGCGUCGGGUCGGGUCAAAAUUUAGUCGGAUUUCAGAAAAAUUGGGGAAAAGGAACGCAAUUGACAGAAAAUAUCACUUUAAAGACUCAAUUGACGCAAAAUAAAUUUUAAGAAUGAUUGUGAAAUUAGAUGACAACUUGGAGCGAUAACAAUGUGAUUCAGUCAUUUAUAUAUUAGUACUUCUUUUAUGGACACAAUAUCAUUUACAUUUUAUGGUGAUAUUGCCAGGUGCUUCCUAAGUAAUUCUUAUAUCUACGUGAUUACCUACACGGCUACACCAUAAUAUAUACAUGUGCCUGUGUUCUUUCUUGCAUGUGCUAUUAUAUAAUUUGAAAAUGAAAAGCUUGCUUUAUCUGAAGUAUGAGCAGCAUCAAUUUUUUUCUCAAACUAUGAAAUUAAAUAGGCUGAAUGACCCUUCUAAGUGGUCACUGGUGUCAAAAUCGUUCUUAUAUUUUAUUUUUUGUUUAAAUUGCUUCAAGUGAAAAUUGAAAAAGACAAAAAGAAAAAGGGAGAACAUAAUUGAUACCAAUUGACCACUUCUAUAAAUCAUAUUUAGAUAAGUAACUAUUAAUUUAUAGUAUGCAUACAUCAUAUUUCUCGUUUGGUGCAAGUACAGGAGCAACGUGUUGCAGUGGCUGCAGGCGACCUACGAUAGGCUCAGGAUGAAAAUUUUGCAGCAACACAACCUCUACAGGACGUGGAGGGUGUGAAUCUGUUUUAGUUUUUACAGGUUUGGAGGUGGUUUGGUGAUUAUGAUAUAGAUGCUUAUAACCAGCAUAUCUAUGACGGUACUGUUGGAGUAUGAUUAUUUGGGUCUAGUCAUAGUAUAAUUUAGUCUAUUUAAUGGUCCGGAUCUGAUAAUGGUCCAUAUGUAUUUAUUAUGACAGUGGAAGAGUCCUUAUUAAAAUAGGAUUGUGUUUCCUUAUUUGGAGGGAUACGGAGUCAUUUUCCUAGUUGGAUGCGGGUGGAAGUGACUUCUAUAUAUACGGCUACAUGCUAGGGUUGAAAAAAAGAGGAGGAGAAUAUGAUAGGGCACAAGAGUUACAACACAAAUACACAACUUGUACUCCCAAUAUUAUUAUAGUGGAUUUCUCUCUCUGUGGUUUUUUUCAAAUUGGGUUUCUACGUAAAUUCUUGUGUUCAUAUUUUAUAUCUUUUUAUUUAUGUUUAUGUGAAUGUAUUUCGUGAGUUUGAUUUCACAACAAUUACUUCAUCAAUCCUUGGCGCUAUUUUGGCCUACUAUUUUGGUUAAUUUUGUCAGGUGUACAAAAUCAGGCGUUAACAUUGGCGCCGUCUGUGGGAAACAAGACACUUGUUCUAGUGUCGAUUUAAAAUCACCGAUUUACCAAAGGAGAUAAAUGAUUCUUUUUUAUUAAAUUAAAUAUAUACUUGUACGUGUGUAUAUAUGUAUUAUGUCAAUAGCAAUUGAAGCAUGAUCGUAAUUGAUUAUUGAUACAACUUUACAUAUUCUCUCUCUUAUAUUAUGCAUGUAGUGGUAGUAUUCACAUGAUGCGUGUAAAAUCUAAACAUUAACACUUUGGUCCAGGUGAUGAUAAAUUGGUGCUGAGUCACCGCACCAGUAACGAAGUCAGCCGGCGCAGAGAUAAAAGUUUAAGCUUUUAUAUCAUUGAAGUGCUUUAAAGGCGGCUUCGGUUUCAUCAUCAACCACAGACUAAAGAAAAUUUCGAGGAUAAAAAUCCCGAAGAGACUUUUUGAAUACUCUCUUAUUUAUAAGUUCCUUAUAAAUAAAAGACCGGGGGGCAAUUAAAGUUCGUACUUUGUUGGACUUUUGGCGGCUCUCCCGUGACAUUUGGGCAACAACCCACUUCGAGCAACAACAAUUCUCUUUGGAUAAUUGUAGUUUGCCUCGAACUAUAUCACAUCGGCUUCAUCAUGUCUUCGGCUAUCUACAUUUGGGGAUUAAAGAUCGGAUGGCGGUAUAAGGUCAGGUAAACUUCUUUCGGGAUGGAUCAACGUCCUCCCCGAACGGAUAACUUCCUUCAGGACGGACCAUCGUCCUCCCGAUCGGACAAUAUCUUUCGGGACGGACCAUCGUCCUCUCGAUCGGACAAUAUCCUUCGGGACGGACCAACGUCCUCCCCAACGGUCAAACAUCCUUUGGGACAGGCCAUCGUCCUCCCGAACGGAUUACUUCCUUUGGGACGGACCGACGUCCUCUCGAAUGGACAACUUCCUUCUGGACGGACCAUCGUCCUCUCGAUCAGACAAUAUCCUUCGAGACGGACCAACGUCCUCCCGAACGGUCAAAAUAAACAUUUAUUUAGUUCUUCAGAAUGAAUACGUUUAGUUCUUCGGAACGAACUUUAUAAUUGGUGUUCGAUUGGAUGUGUUCGGUGGGUUAUUUAUUUAUCUUCAGUUGUGAUAAGGUUGGUUCUUUAUAUCUUCGGUAGUGAUAAGGUUGGUUCUCUAUAUAUUCGGUUGUGAUAAGGUUGGUUCUUUAUAUCUUCGGUUGUGAUAAGGUUGGUUCUUUAUAUCUUCAGUAAUGAUAAGGUUGGUUCGGUUGAUAUAAGGUUGGUUCUUUAUAUCUUUGGUAGUAAUAAGAGAAAUUGUUUAUCUAUCUUAUGAGUGAACAAGAGGAGUGGGGCGGCGAUAUUGGGAGCCAACAAUUUUAGUUUGGCACAUGGAGUUCAGGUGUGAUAUUUUGUCUUCGGCAAAUAUGGUCAUUUUGUUGGGAUAAAUUUGUAUACUCUCUCAUUUAUAAGUUCCUUAUAAAUAAGAGACUGGGGGGCAAUGUUGGAGUGUGAUUAUUUAGGUCUAGCCAUGGUGCAGCCCAGUCUAUUUAAUGGUCCGGAUCUGGUGAUGGCCCAUAUGUAUUUAUUAUGACAGUGGAAGAAUCCUUAUUAAAAUAGGAUUGUGUUUCCUUAUUUGGAGGGAUAAGGAGUCCUUCUCCUAGUUGGAUGCGGGUGGAGGUGACUUCUAUAUAUACGGCUACAAGCUAGGGUUGAAAAAAAGAGGAGGAGAAUAUGAUAGGGCACAAGAGUUACAACACAGAUACACAACUUGUACUCCCAAUAUUAUUAUAGUGG